rnacentral:lncRNA from 1 species
UCUGAAUUACCUUAAUAACAUAUCAAAGGGUUAAUACCCCAUCAUCCAUACAAAAAUGAAGCUAAAGCUUCAUCUCAUCCAAACAACACGAAAGGUUUAGCUACUCAUGGUUCGGGAAACAAGAAAGGUAGAAGAAAGGAAAAUAUCCCGGAAGAAAACAUGAUUCGUCGAUAAACUUCUGCCUUAUCGCCCAUCUUUUUCUCUCGAUUGUCAACAUGAAAGUUGCAAGAAAUUAAAUUAGAUUUCCAACACUGCUGAUAUUGAAUCAAUCAGACUUCUGAGCGACGCAUUGUGCUCAAAAUAGUAAACUGCGAUGUUUUCUUCCCAAGUCAAACAUAUUGAGUUGUUCCAGCCUCCCCGCCAUGCCUUGAUUCAUCCCGAGACGUCAUAUGACACCUGAAAUACCCAAGGGGCCAAGGGUGAAAAACCCAUGAAACACCCCAAAUACAAUCAAAAUGAGACAUCCAAGCAUCCAAAAACGUCGUUUAACGCGGGAAUAAUGAUAUGAGCCGGAACACACGAAUAACGACGACCGAGACAAUCUAUCAAAAUAAGGUUUUCAAAACUCAAACAAAUCAAACAACCGGAUGAACUAGUUACCUAGCCAAUCAAUCGAACACAAGGUCGAAGGGAGGGUCUAAGUCUCACAAAUCUAAGGUGCUACAAAGAUUGGGUGAUAACCCGACUACGGUAAACCGAAUCCGCUACCUAGCAAUGACGUACUAAAAAUAAAACGAAUUAUAAAAACAGCAUAAGUCGAAAUUUGCUUUCUUAUUU